GGCUCUGUGGCGCAAUGGACAGCGCAUUGGACUUCUAGCUUAAACACUAAGUAAAUGAUUCAAAGGUUGUGGGUUCGAGUCCCACCGGAGUCG
rnacentral:tRNA from 14 species